rnacentral:rRNA from 1 species
UUAGUCUUUUAAUUGGAGACUGGAAUGAAAGAGUAAACCGGGAGGAUUUUUUUAAAAUAAAAUGAACGAAUUUUACUUUUUAGUAAGAAGGCUAAAAUAAAUCUUUUAGACAAGAAGACCCUAUAAAACUUUAUAUUUACUUCUCAUUUUGAAGAAUUAAAUAUUUUACUGGGGCGGUGGGAAAAAUAGACUUUUCUCGAAAAAUAGGACAAGCAAGUUUAGAUAUCUAGAAAUUCUGAAAAGGAAAUAAGUUACUUUAGGGAUAACAGCUUGAUUUAUUUUGAAAGUUCUAAUUGACAAAUAAGUUUAUGACCUCGAUGUUGAAUUAAAAUUCCCUUUUUGUGCAAAA